ACUCGAGUGGCGAACGGGUGAGUAACACGUGGGUGAUCUGCCCUGCACUUCGGGAUAAGCCUGGGAAACUGGGUCUAAUACCGGAUAGGAGCCAUUUUUAGUGUGAUGGUUGGAAAGUUUUUCGGUGUAGGAUGAGCUCGCGGCCUAUCAGCUUGUUGGUGGGGUAAUGGCCUACCGAGGCGGCGACGGGUAGCCGGCCUGAGAGGGUGGACGGCCACAUUGGGACUGAGAUACGGCCCAG
rnacentral:rRNA from 1 species